GACGAACGCUGGCGGCGUGCUUAACACAUGCAAGUCGAACGGAAAGGCCCUGCUUGCAGGGUUCUCGAGUGGCGAACGGGUGAGUAACACGUGGGUGAUCUGCCCUGCACUUCGGGAUAAGCUUGGGAAACUGGGUCUAAUACCGGAUAGGAGCCAUCUUUAGUGUGGUGGUUGGAAAGUUUUUUCGGUGUAGGAUGAGCUCGCGGCCUAUCAGCUUGUUGGUGGGGUAAUGGCCUACCAAGGCGGCGACGGGUAGCCGGCCUGAGAGGGUGUACGGCCACAUUGGGACUGAGAUACGGCCCAGACUCCUACGGGAGGCAGCAGUGGGGAAUAUUGCACAAUGGGCGCAAGCCUGAUGCAGCGACGCCGCGUGGGGGAUGAAGGCCUUCGGGUUGUAAACUCCUUUCGCUAGGGACGAAGCUUUUUUGUGACGGUACCUAGAUAAGAAGCACCGGCUAACUACGUG
rnacentral:rRNA from 1 species